AGAGUUUGAUCCUGGCUCAGGAUGAACGCUGGCGGCGUGCCUAAAACAUGCAAGUCGUGCGGUAACAGGUUCAGCACUGAUUCUUUAACUUUGGUUGAAGGAUGAGUGUUGAAUGCUGACGAGCGGCGGACGGCUGAGUAACGCGUGGGAACGUGCCCCAAAGUGAGGAAUAACUGCCCGAAAGGGUGGCUAAUGCCGCAUAUGGUCUUCGGAUUAAAGCUCCCCGGAGCGCUUUGGGAGCGGCCCGCGUCAGAUUAGAUAGUUGGUGAGGUAACGGCUCACCAAGUCGAUGAUCUGUAACUGGUUUGAGAGGAUGAUCAGUCAGACUGGAACUGAGAAACGGUCCAGACUCCUACGGGAGGCAGCAGUUAGGAAUAUUCCACAAUGGGGGCAACCCUGAUGGAGCAACGCCGCGUGGAGGAUGAAGGCCUUCGGGUCGUAAACUUCUUUUCUAUGCGAAGAAUAUGACGGUAACAUAGGAAUAAGGGUCUGCUAACUACGUGCCAGCAGCCGCGGUCAUACGUAGGACCCAAGUGUUAUCCGGAUUGACUGGGCGUAAAGAGUUGCGUAGGUGGCGGCUUAAGCGAAUAGUGAAAUCUUGUGGCUCAACCAUAAGGCUAUUAUUCGAACUGAGUCGCUCGAGAAUGGAAGAGGUAUCUGGAAUUUCUCAUGUAGGGGUAAUAUCCGCAGAUAUGAGAAGGAACACCAAUGGCGUAGGCAGGAUACUGGUCCAUUUCUGACACUGAGGCACGAAAGCGUGGGGAGCGAACCGGAUUAGAUACCCGGGUAGUCCACGCCGUAAACGAUGAAUACUAGUUGUAUGCAGUAUCGACCCUGUGUGUAACGAAGCUAACGCGUUAAGUAUUCCGCCUGGGGAGUACGGUCGCAAGACUAAAACUCAAAUGAAUUGACGG
rnacentral:rRNA from 1 species